UUUAAAAGUGUGCGAUAGCAAAUGUAACAGCUAUUAUUGCAACUACUUAAAGGAGAUUUCACCAGUUAAACGUAUCAGUAAAAUGGCAGCAACUAUGUACUGGGUUUUGGUUUUGGCACUAGCUGUCGUGGUAGCAGCCGCACCUUCUCCUGAUUUUGUAUCACUAGUUCCAACCAAAAACAAGCCUUUUAACGAAGACGAUCUAAAAAACGUACAUUUUGUGGAAAUUAAUGACGAAGACCUCGACGAAUUUUACAAUUCACUGGAAGAACGUGAAAUACCCAAAACACUUAAUAACGCUCCAAAAGCAGUCGAAGAGAAGUGGUUGGAGUUUUUAAAAAGAUUUUUUGGUAACCUCAUAUAUUAACCUAAGUUAUUGGCCUAGGGGCAUAUAUGACUGCAUAUGACUGGGCAUACAAGCCUGCAGUAUAAUAUGACUUUUUUUAAAUAAAACAUCUUUAAAUAACUUGUUAAAUUAAAAUAUUAAUGAGUUUACCCUCUUUUAAAAUUUUAAAUAUUAAAAACUUUAGCCUAUUCAUAUUUUUCGCAUACAAUUUCAUCUAGAACAGCCGCAAAAGUAUAGUAUCUUCGGAAAAUGUUUUAAUUACAUUACACAAAAUAGCAACAGAACAACAAAGUUGAAACUGCAUUUAUUACAUUAGGUUACAAUGUUGAAAUACUUGUUAUUUACAUGAUGUUGACAUGAUCAAGGUUUGUUUUAAUUUAUUAAAUAAAAUAUACAAUGUGUCUUUGAA